rnacentral:rRNA from 1 species
UACGGAGGGUGCGAGCGUUGUCCGGAAUCACUGGGCGUAAAGGGCGCGUAGGCGGCAUGCCAAGCGUGUGGUGAAAGCCCGGGGCUCAACCCCGGGUCGGCCGUGCGGACUGGCAUGCUCGAGCACUGUAGGGGCGGGUGGAAUUCCGGGUGUAGCGGUGGAAUGCGUAGAGAUCCGGAAGAACACCGGUGGCGAAGGCGGCCCGCUGGGCAGGAAGGAAGCGUAAGCUUCCGGCUGACGCUGAGGCGCGACAGCGUGGGGAGCAAACAGG